rnacentral:rRNA from 1 species
UACAUGGGGUGCAAGCGUUGUCCGGAAUUAUUGGGCGUAAAGAGCUCGUAGGCGGUUUGUUGCGUCGGCUGUGAAAUCCCGAGGCUCAACCUCGGGUCUGCAGUCGAUACGAGCAAACUAGAGUGUUGCAGGGGAGACUGGAAUUCCUGGUGUAGCGGUGAAAUGCGCAGAUAUCAGGAGGAACACCGAUGGCGAAGGCAGGUCUCUGGGCCGAUACUGACGCUGAGGAGCGAAAGCGUGGGGAGCGAACAGG